rnacentral:rRNA from 1 species
UACGGAGGGGGCCAGCGUUGUUCGGAAUUAUUGGGCGUAAAGGGCGCGUAGGUGGCCUGGCAAGUCGGUUGUGAAAGCCCUCGGCUCAACCGAGGAAUUGCGACCGAAACUGCCGGGCUUGAGUCCCGGAGAGGGUAGCGGAAUUCCCAGUGUAGCGGUGAAAUGCGUAGAUAUUGGGAGGAACACCAGUAGCGAAGGCGAGUCUCUGGGAUGAUGCUGACGCUGAGGCGCGAAAGCCAGGGGAGCAAACGGG